CUGCCCAGCUAGUUUCCAAAUACAGUGCGC
rnacentral:piRNA from 1 species